rnacentral:rRNA from 1 species
UGAGGAAUAUUGCACAAUGGGGGAAACCCUGAUGCAGCGACGCCGCGUGAGCGAUGAAGGCUUUCGAGUCGUAAAGCUCUGUCCUAUGGGAAGAUAAUGACGGUACCAUAGAAGAAAGCCCCGGCUAAUUACGUGCCAGCAGCCGCGGUAAUACGUAAGGGGCGAGCGUUGUCCGGAAUUAUUGGGCGUAAAGAGUGCGUAGGCGGCAAAUUAAGUCAGAUGUGAAAACUAAGGGCUCAACCCAUAGAUUGCAUCUGAAACUGAUAUGCUUGAGUCAAGGAGAGGAAAGUGGAAUUCCUAGUGUAGCGGUGGAAUGCGUAGAUAUUAGGAGGAAUACCGGUGGCGAAGGCGACUUCUGGACUUGAACUGACGCUGAGGCACGAAAGCGUGGGGAGCAAACAGG